rnacentral:rRNA from 1 species
UAUAUUUAAGUUGUUGCGGUUAAAAAGCUCGUAGUUGGAUCUUGGGCUCAGGCGGCCGGUCCGUCGCAAGGCGUGCACUGGCCGCACCUGGCCCUCCACCCCGGCGCUCCGCCGGUGCCCUUAACUGAGUGUCGGCGGCGGCCGGGACGUUUACUUUGAAAAAAUUAGAGUGUUCAAAGCAGGCGGCUUGCCUGGAUAAUGGUGCAUGGAAUAAUGGAAUAGGACCUCGGUUCUAUUUUGUUGGUUUUCGGAGCGCGAGGUAAUGAUCAAGAGGGACGGACGGGGGCAUUCGUACUGUGCCGCUAGAGGUGAAAUUCUUGGAUCGGCGCAAGACGAGCGACUGCGAAAGCAUUUGCCAAGAAUGUUUUCUUUAAUCAAGAGCGAAAGUCAGAGGUUCGAAGACGAUCAGAUACCGUCCUAGUUCUGACUAUAAACGAUGCCAACCAGCGAUCGGGGGGCGUUAGUUUGACGACCCCUCCGGCAGCUUGCGGGAAACCAAAGUCUUUGGGUUCCGGGGGAAGUAUGGUUGCAAAGCUGAAACUUAA